rnacentral:rRNA from 1 species
GACAGUUCGGUCCCUAUCUGCCGUGGGCGUUGGAGGUUUGAGAGGAGCUGCUUCUAGUACGAGAGGACCGAAGUGGACACACCACUGGUGUAUCGGUUGUGUCGCCAGAUGCAAUGCCGAGUAGCUAUGUGUGGCAGGGAUAACCGCUGAAAGCAUCUAAGCGGGAAGCCCCUCUUGAGAUUAGGGAUGCCAUCAGACCCCCGGAAGACGACCGGGUUGAUAGGCCGCAGCUGUAAGGGCCGAGAAGCCCUCAGGUGAGCGGUACUAACGGUCGAAUGCUUA